rnacentral:rRNA from 1 species
UACGUAGGGUGCAAGCGUUAUCCGGAAUUAUUGGGCGUAAAGAGCUCGUAGGCGGUUUGUCGCGUCUGCUGUGAAAACUGGAGGCUCAACCUCCAGCCUGCAGUGGGUACGGGCAGACUAGAGUGCGGUAGGGGAGAUUGGAAUUCCUGGUGUAAGCGGUGGAAUGCGCAGAUAUCAGGAGGAACACCGAUGGCGAAGGCAGAUCUCUGGGCCGUAACUGACGCUGAGGAGCGAAAGCAUGGGGAGCGAACAGG